CAACAGGGAUUGCCUCAGUAACGGCGAGUGAAGCGGCAACAGCUCAAAUUUGAAAUCUGGCCCUCCCCGCGGGGGUCCGAGUUGUAAUUUGCAGAGGAUGAUUUCGGCGAGGUGCCCUCCGAGUUCCCUGGAACGGGACGCCGCAGAGGGUGAGAGCCCCGUACGGUCCGGCGCCGAGCCUGUGUAAAUCUCCCUCGACGAGUCGAGUAGUUUGGGAAUGCUGCUCAAAAUGGGAGGUAAACUCCUCCUAAAGCUAAAUACUGGCCAGAGACCGAUAGCGCACAAGUAGAGUGAUCGAAAGAUGAAAAGCACUUUGGAAAGAGAGUUAAAAAGCACGUGAAAUUGUUGAAAGGGAAGCGCUUGUGGCCAGACCUGGGCCCGGCAGCUCAGCCGUCCCUCGGGGCGGUGCACUCUGCCGGCCCAGGCCAGCAUCGGUUUCCGGUUGGGGAGAAAGGCGGUGGGAACGUGGCUCCUAGGAGUGUUAUAGCCCGCCGCCAUGCCCUUCCGGGGACCGAGGACCGCGCCUUGUGCAAGGAUGCUGGCGUAAUGGCCACCAGCGACCCGUCUUGAAACACGGACCAAGGAGUCAUCCUAAUAUGCGAGUGUUCGGGCGUCAAACCCCCUACGCGAAAUGAAAGUGAACGGAGGUGAGAGCUUCGGCGCAUCAUCGACCGAUCCUGAUGUCCUCGGAUGGAUUUGAGUAGGAGCAUAUUGGGCUGUACCCGAAAGAAGGUGAACUAUGCUUGGAUAGGGUAAAGCCAGAGGAAACUCUGGUGGAGGCUCGCAGCGGUUCUGACGUGCAAAUCGAUCGUCAAAUCUGAGCAUGGGGGCGAAAGACUAAUCGAACCUUUUAGUAGCUGGUUUCCGCCGAAGUUUCCCUCAGGAUAGCAGUGCUGGUCUCAGUUUUAUGAGGUAAAGCGAAUGAUUAGGGACUCGGGGGCGAAUUUUAGCCUUCAUCCAUUCUCAAACUUUAAAUAUGUAAGAAGCCCUUGUUCCUUCGGUGAACGAGGGCAUUAGAAU
rnacentral:rRNA from 1 species